AAUUUUAAAAGUGACGCCUGUUAAACUGUCAACUUUACAUUUGAAUCCGUGGUGGAAGGAAGUAGUUCUACACAAAAGAGGGUUUUGAAAGACACUCCAAUGUUGUUUCUUAUGUAUUUACACACUCGUGCCGUGAACUGUU